AACGAACGCUGGCGGCAGGCCUAACGCAUGCAAGUCGAGCGCGCCUUCGGGUGAGCGGCGGACGGGUGAGUAACGCGUGGGAAUAUGCCCUUCUCUACGGAAUAGUCCUGGGAAACUGGGGGUAAUACCGUAUACGCCCUUUGGGGGAAAGAUUUAUCGGGGAAGGAUUAGCCCGCGUUGGAUUAGGUAGUUGGUGGGGUAAUGGCCUACCAAGCCGACGAUCCAUAGCUGGUUUGAGAGGAUGAUCAGCCACACUGGGACUGAGACACGGCCCAGACUCCUACGGGAGGCAGCAGUGGGGAAUCUUAGACAAUGGGGGCAACCCUGAUCUAGCCAUGCCGCGUGAGUGAUGAAGGCCUUAGGGUUGUAAAGCUCUUUCAGCUGGGAAGAUAAUGACGGUACCAGCAGAAGAAGCCCCGGCUAACUCCGUG
rnacentral:rRNA from 1 species